AGUGAACGCUGGCGGUAGGCCUAACACAUGCAAGUCGAACGGCAGCACAGUAAGAGCUUGCUCUUACGGGUGGCGAGUGGCGGACGGGUGAGGAAUACAUCGGAAUCUACUUUUUCGUGGGGGAUAACGUAGGGAAACUUACGCUAAUACCGCAUACGACCUACGGGUGAAAGCAGGGGAUCUUCGGACCUUGCGCGAUUGAAUGAGCCGAUGUCGGAUUAGCUAGUUGGCGGGGUAAAGGCCCACCAAGGCGACGAUCCGUAGCUGGUCUGAGAGGAUGAUCAGCGACACUGGGAGUGAGCCACGGACCAGAAUGGUGAGUGAGGGAGCAGGUGGGAAUCGUAGAUAAUGGGGGCAAACAUGAGCUAGAAAUGCAGCGUGAGUGAUGAAGGCGUUAGGGUUGUAAAGCUCUUUCAGCUGGGACGAUAAUGACGGUACGAGAAGAAGAAGCACCGGAUAACUCCGUG
rnacentral:rRNA from 1 species